UACGUAGGGGGCUAGCGUUGUCCGGAUUUAUUGGGCGUAAAGAGCGUGUAGGGGGCCAGGUAGGUCUGGUGUGAAAACUCGAGGCUUAACCUCGAGAUGUCAUCGGAAACCAUCUGGCUAGAGUCCGGAAGAGGAGAGUGGAAUUCCCGGUGUAGUGGUGAAAUGCGUAGAGAUCGGGAGGAACACCCGUGGCGAAGGCGGCCACCUGGGCCGACCCUGACGCUGAGGCGCGAAGGCGUGGGGAGCGAACGGG
rnacentral:rRNA from 1 species